CUUGUUAUUGUUACUAUGGUCGCCCUUAAUUUUGAGUAUCGAUCCAUGUCGGUUUCGGGUAUCCAUGGACAUAUUCUUGAGGUUACCGUCAAUGGAUGCAACAAAUUGAAGGAUACUGAGUGGAUUUCAAGGCGGGAUCCUUAUGUCUGUGUUGAAUAUGGGAGCACCAAGUGUCGUACAAGAACCUGCACCGACGGUGGCAAAGCGCCU